rnacentral:lncRNA from 1 species
UAUGUCAUUGCUUUAUUUGAUUUAAAAUUUAUUUACAAAACAGUACAAGUAGUGAAAACCCUACGUGCUGGUGUGACCAUAUAAAUGUCAUAAAUCUGUUUCUAUAGAAUAAACGAUAUCUUUUUUAUGCACCAGAAGUGCAUUUUUCAGGUAGUCAUAUUACUUGUGAUUCAACCGAUAUAUAUGUAAUUGAUGGAUAUACAACACUGCAAUAUAGGAUAUUGAUUUUAACCAGCCAUGUUAGAUCACUAUAUGUCACGACUAU